CCACGGCCUCGCUCUGACUGCUCCUCCGUGCCUGGCCACAGAAAGCAUCAAUCACUUCAGUCUCACAAGACACAAAACUGGAUGCAGAGCUACAAGUUCAGCCACACAGGAAAACAACUGGACACCCAUCAGGGUCCAACAUAAAGACUGAAGGACUGCAGGCUUGCCAGGAUCUGGCUCUCUAUUGCUGUCACCCAGGAAUCCCUCUCCUCCAGACUCUGCGCCUCAAAGUG